UUGAACGCUGGCGGCAUGCUUUACACAUGCAAGUCGAACGGCAGCGGGGGCUUCGGCCCGCCGGCGAGUGGCGAACGGGUGAGUAAUGCAUCGGAACGUACCCGGUCGUGGGGGAUAACUACGCGAAAGCGUGGCUAAUACCGCAUACGCCCUGAGGGGGAAAGCGGGGGACCUUCGGGCCUCGCGCGAUUGGAGCGGCUGAUGUCGGAUUAGCUAGUUGGUGGGGUAAAGGCCUACCAAGGCGACGAUCCGUAGCUGGUCUGAGAGGACGACCAGCCACACGGGAACGGAGACACGGUCCAGACUCCUACGGGAGGCAGCAGUGGGGAAUUUUGGACAAUGGGGGAAACCCUGAUCCAGCCAUUCCGCGUGAGUGAAGAAGGCCUUCGGGUUGUAAAGCUCUUUCGGCAGGAACGAAACGGUAAGGGCUAAUAUCCUUUGCUAAUGACGGUACCUGAAGAAGAAGCACCGGCUAACUACGU
rnacentral:rRNA from 1 species